AGCCUCCAUCUUGGGCUGGGAAUCUCAGGAGGUGUUAAAAGAAAUCCCUACACCUAGCAGUGGGACCAACAAUGAGGGAAGUCAUCAAACUUGAGGAUCCUCUAUUCCAGGGGUCCAACCUAGAACAGUAGGCUGGCAGCAAUCCAGGAGAACUGUGGUGGGGCUGGAGCUAAGUAACUAAUCACCCUGCAACAGCAAGACUGAGCAGGAGGAGUGGAAAGAAGCAACAUCUUGGGAUCUGGAAAGGCUCAACAAAAGACUCCUAAGUGCAACCGCACACAAAGUACAUAGCCAUAUCCACCUUCUCAUAAAUAUGCAGCAGUUUCUUUGAGCAGAAGUCUGCAUCAUGUUACACCG